rnacentral:rRNA from 1 species
UACGAAGGGGGCUAGCGUUGCUCGGAAUUACUGGGCGUAAAGCGCACGUAGGCGGCUUUCUAAGUCGGGGGUGAAAUCCUGGAGCUCAACUCCAGAACUGCCUUCGAUACUGGAGAGCUCGAGUCCGGGAGAGGUGAGUGGAACUGCGAGUGUAGAGGUGAAAUUCGUAGAUAUUCGCAAGAACACCAGUGGCGAAGGCGGCUCACUGGCCCGGUACUGACGCUGAGGAGCGAAAGCAUGGGGAGCGAACAGG